AUACGUAGGUGGCAAGCGUGAUCCGGAAUUACUGGGCGUAAAGCGCACGCAGGCGGCCAGUCAAGUCUGACGUGAAAGCUCCUGGCUUAACUGGGAGAGGUCGUUGGAAACUGAUUGGCUUGAGGCAAUGAGAGGGACACGGAAUUCCCGGUGUAGUGGUGGAAUGCGUAGAUAUCGGGAGGAACACCAGUGGCGAAAGCGGUGUCCUGGCAUUGACCUGACGCUCAUGUGCGAAAGCGUGGGGAGCGAACGGGAUUAGAAACCCGAGUAGUCC
rnacentral:rRNA from 1 species